UGUGCGCGAGUCACUGGGAUCAUGUCUAAACCCAGAGGCGCAGUGAAAGCGUGGGGCUCGCACGGCAUAAAGCCGCUUGCGAGCCGCUAAGGGAGGACGGCCGGUCGUUCCCGAACGGGGCGGCCGGCCAGCACUCCCGGGGCGCCUCGGCUCCGGCCGCAGGCGCACCCGGAGCGCACACGUUGGGACCCGAAAGAUGGUGAACUAUGCCCGGCCAGGACGAAGUCAGGGGAAACCCUGAUGGAGGUCCGCAGCGAUUCUGACGUGCAAAUCGAUCGUCAGAGCUAGGUAUAGGGGCGAAAGACUAAUCGAACCAUCUAGUAGCU
rnacentral:rRNA from 1 species